rnacentral:lncRNA from 1 species
AAAUGACAAUUCCUUUUAUCUGGGAUUUAUUUGUACAUCCACAGGGGCUGCGACCAUCUUCUGCUGACCCAUGUCAUGACCAAAUACAGCAGCAGAAAAUAAAGGAAGAGGAUCUGAAAAACCAUCAGCAGGACAUAUCUAGAAAGAAUGAAAUGAAAGAACAGGAGUACCUGAAACAGCUGCAGAAAAUUCGUGAAGAAUACCACAGCCAUAUAAAAGAAUUCAGAUUUAGAGCCCAAAUACUCCAGGACAUGGAAGAAAACUUUGAACAAGUCCGAGUCCAGGAUAAGCAAGACCAAAAAAUCUUAGAAAAAAAACAUAACAGAAAGGUAUCCAUCCUUAUUGUUAUUCCUUUUUCCAUUUUCUUCUUAUGUCU